CUGCUGAUGACGUCAGUUUGUUGUUCAGCGGUUCUCGAUUUGGAUCUAGUUAAAGAAAAGAAGAAAAAACAAGCAGCUCUAAAUGUUUCAAACGUCUGAACCAAUUAAGAAGUCUGAUGUAAUUAGCAAAAAUGUAACGAUUAAGAGGCACUAUCUACAUUAAACUGUCAGAAUGAAGUUGAUCAAAAGCCAGAGAAGCAGAACAACAACAACAAUAGAUAUAUGACUAGCAACAGCAAAUAGCAGCGACGGCUGGAGAAGGACAUCCCCGCAGCGAAGGCCCACAGCCCGGUCUCUGGGGUUUCCGGCAGAUGAGAAAGUGCAAAGAACUCCGUGGAAGAAGCCAACUUUUACACAGUAAGGAGGGAGAUGGACAGAAGAAGAGAUAAAGUAAGACAAGCUGACUGUUGUACAGAUAGCAGCACAGACCCUGGACAGCUGACUGUCUGUAUUCUCCAGGCUUGUGGACUUGACAUGUCUUCUUCCACUGGUAGGAUCUUCUCCAAAGUGGUGAUCUGUUCGAAGAAAAUCAGAGGACUUUGUUGCAUAUGUAUGUUACACUAUUGCAAGUUACUGUAUGUGUAUUCUCUGCCAUGUACCUUGUACUUACAGAAAUGCAAACAGCAAGUGGUAAAGAUUUUAAAAUAUAAUGUAUAUUAAAGCACAGACUUUAAUUUUUGUUUGUGUGUGGUUUAGUGUUGUUAGCUGCAU